UACGGAAGGUGCGAGCGUUAAUCGGAAUUACUGGGCGUAAAGCGCACGUAGGCGGUUUGCUAAGUCAGAUGUGAAAGCCCCGGGCUUAACCUGGGAACUGCAUCUGAUACUGGCAGGCUAGAGUACAGUAGAGGGAGGUGGAAUUUCAGGUGUAGCGGUGAAAUGCGUAGAGAUCUGAAGGAACACCAGUGGCGAAGGCGGCCUCCUGGACUGAUACUGACGCUGAGGUGCGAAAGCGUGGGGAGCAAACAGG
rnacentral:rRNA from 1 species